CUUGUGUGAAAAAAAUCAUGAUAAAAACAUAUGAAAAAGUCAAAAUGGCACCUACCAAUAUAGACGAGCUGAACGGUUAUUCUAGAAUUAUUACGACGAGCGAAACUCAUGACCAUUCAAUUGAUGCCAUACAGGGAGGAGGAACCAGCUCAAUCGGAUUGCAAUAGGAGGGGAAUUGUCAACAAGCUGAUAUUCCGGAAUUUAAGGAUCUACCUAUAGCGGAAGGUCCUCCUUCAGGCUUAAAAGAGCGUCUUGACCUUAGUAUAAAUUACGAGAUCAACGCUGGUGCGAAAAAUGUUCACAAUCAGAUGAGUUAAAAAGCUGACCAGAUUUUCUCGGGAUAAAAACGGGACAAAUGGGUUCUAAGAACGAGACACAUGGUAAAAUUGAUUUUUGGAUUUUUUUACCAACC